AGUGAACGCUGGCGGUAGGCCUAACACAUGCAAGUCGAACGGCAGCACAGUAAGAGCUUGCUCUUACGGGUGGCGAGUGGCGGACGGGUGAGGAAUACAUCGGAAUCUACUUUUUCGUGGGGGAUAACGUAGGGAAACUUACGCUAAUACCGCAUACGACCUACGGGUGAAAGCAGGGGAUCUUCUGACCUUGCGCGAUUGAAUGCGCCGAUGUCGGAUUAGCUAGUUGGCGGGGUAAAGGCCCACCAAGGCGACGAUCCGUUGCUGGUCUGAGAGGAUGGUCAGCCACACUGGAACUGAGACACGGUCCAGACUCCUACGGGAGGCAGCAGUGGGGAAUAUUGGACAAUGGGCGCAAGCCUGAUCCAGCCAUACCGCGUGGGUGAAGAAGGCCUUCGGGUUGUAAAGCCCUUUUGUUGGGAAAGAAAAGCAGCAGGUUAAUACCCCGCUGUUCUGACGGUACCCAAAGAAUAAGCACCGGCUAACUUCGUG
rnacentral:rRNA from 1 species